AUUGAACGCUGGCGGCAGGCCUAACACAUGCAAGUCGAGCGAGCGGCGGACGGGUUAGUAAUGUAUGGGGACUGCCCGAUAGAGGGGGAUAACUACUGGAAACGGUAGCUAAUACCGCAUACUAUCGGAUAACCCAUAUGGGAUUAGCUAGUAGGUGAGGUAAUGGCUCACCUUGGCGACGAUCCCUAGCUGGUCUGAGAGGAUGAACAGCCACACGGGGACUGAGACACGGCCCAGACGCCUACGGAGGCAGCAGUGGGGAAUAUUGCACAAUGGGCGCAAGCCUGAUGCGGCCAAGCCGCGUGUAUGAAGAAGGCCCUAGGGUUGUAAAUUACUGUCAGUCGGGAGGCGUUACCGACAGAAGAAGCACCGGCUAACUCCGUGCCAGCAGCCGCGGUAAUUC
rnacentral:rRNA from 1 species